CGGGCAUAUAAACCGGGACUGUCCGGAUUGCCAUUACUGGUUGUUGCAUCGGCCGCCACUUUGAGCACACCUUAUAUAGUGAGCACUGAUGAAUGGGUGCCACUUCAUAAGCAUUGAUAGUGAGCACUGAGUUUCGGGUGCCACUGUAUGUUAUAUGAUACUAUAUUAUUUGAGUCAUCCACACGUAUAAGUUGUACUAAUCCCCUGAUGACGCUCAACAUCAGAGCAGAAAUGCGUAAGGUUGUUGCGAUAUUUGGUGUGGUCUGCAUUAAAUCUACUCACCAGUGGCCUUCCAACACCACGACUCUUGUGCCAGUAUGACUAAGAUUGCUUAGAAGAUUGAAACGCGUCACUGCUGUUCUGAUUCCUGUGUGCUGCUGUAUUGGAAUAAAAAUUUCAUGCAUUCGAGCGUCUGCUGCGCUGGAUAUUUCUUCUUUCCGCAUAUACUAUCUGUCAGCAUUGUCCGGGCUGAAUCCGUGAAGCGGCUGGUGGCAAUUAAGGGGAUUCAAAUUUUACCUCAUAAUUAUUCUGGAGAAGUCACAUCUGCUUUAAGGAAUGCAUCAUUAUUAUAUCGCCUUGAUAUGACACAUACUUAGGCUGAAUUGAUGUUUUAGAAACAUUUUUUGCUGCAAAGAUUUUUUUCUUAUGGUGGA